rnacentral:rRNA from 1 species
GGUCGGCUGGCGGGACUGCCACUCCAUUCGAAGUCCAGCAUUGAGUAUGGUGUACUGGAUUUGGCCCAGAGAGGGUGAAAGGCCCGUGCGAGUGGAUGUUACAGACAUGUAAGGCAGUUCAUCANGCCGACCUUCGAGUCGGGUUGCUUGAGAAUGCANCCCUAAGCGGGUGGUAAACUCCAUCCAAGGCUAAAUACCUGCACAAGUCCGAUAGCGAACAAGUACCGUGAGGGAAAGUUGAAAAGUACUCUGAAGAGAGAGUAAAGAGCACGUGAAGCCGUAUAGAGGUAAACGAGUGGCGUCAAGCUGCGAGCCUGGAGGAUUCAGUUGGUCGUUAUGUUGUGUGUAUGCCUUGUGUACCUCGGUCGGUGAUAGUGAGUGGUCUGCCACAAAUGGUGGGCCUGGCCGCAAGGUCGGGAUGCAUGCACCCUGGGAUAGGUGUGCGUGUGCUACUCAACUAUUGGACUGGGCGGUCAAUGCAAUUCCUCCAUCAGGCGAACACCACGACCGGUGGCGUUGCCAGUCUGGUAUGGUCACAUCGCGUUUGGUUCUGCAGCAAUGCAAGCCGAAUUCGGUCGCAGUUGAUUCAGCGGACGGUGAGACUUUCUUCGGGAGGUUUCAUGUUAUCGGUCGCUGGUUAACAGCGGGAGUCUGCUGUGCUUGCAGUGCGCAGUGGAUUUCUGGCGGGCCAUGCUGGUAUGAAUAACUGUGCAAAGCACCGGAGUUGUCGGUCGCUCACCUGACCAUCAUUCACGCUGCAAGUGGCAGUGGCGGGGUUAUCGCAGGCUGUCGGCAGUUGGACCUGAUUGCUAUGUUGCCUGCGCAAAGUGGGCCUGGCAGUGGUUCGAUUCCGGUUAGAUUUGCUGGUGGCUCUGCCGUGUGAUGGUCAGUGUCGAUCUGAAAGUCUGUGGUGUUGUGGUAGAUUAGCUACUCGACCCGUCUUGAAACACGGACCAAGGAGUUCGACAUGCACGCGAGUCAAUGGGCGUUACGAAACCCAAAGGCGUAGUGAAAGCAAAGCCUCGACUUGUUCUCGGGGUGUGGUGAGAUCCUGCUGUUUCUCGCACAGCACUUGUGUCGUGAGUUGGCUCAAGGCGGGUAAGAGCGGUAGGCGCAUCACCGGCCCGUACCCAU